rnacentral:rRNA from 1 species
GACGAACGCUGGCGGCGUGCUUAACACAUGCAAGUCGAACGGAAAGGCCCUGCUUUUGUGGGGUGCUCGAGUGGCGAACGGGUGAGUAACACGUGAGUAACCUGCCCUUGACUUUGGGAUAACUUCAGGAAACUGGGGCUAAUACCGGAUAGGAGCUCCUGCUGCAUGGUGGGGGUUGGAAAGUUUCGGCGGUUGGGGAUGGACUCGCGGCUUAUCAGCUUGUUGGUGGGGUAGUGGCUUACCAAGGCUUUGACGGGUAGCCGGCCUGGGAGGGUGACCGGCCACAUUGGGCCUGAGGUGCGGCCCAGACUCAUAAGGGGGGCAGCGGUGGGGGCUAUUGCACGAUGGGCGGAGGCCUGAUGCAGCAACGCCGCGUGCGGGAUGACGGCCUUCGGGUUGUAAACCGCUUUCGCCUGUGACGAAGCGUGAGUGACGGUACUGGGUAAAGAAGCACCGGCUAACUACGU